AAAAAAAAAAAAAAACCCAAAAAACAAAAACCUAAGCAUGUAGUGAAGGACCUCAAGGGAACCCGGGAAAGCAAGUUAUCUAGAAUUUGAAAGCACGGGUACCCAGGAAGCAGGGCAGAUAGAGGGCAGGAAAGACUGAUUCAUGCUGAGGCGAGGGUGAUAGCUCCAGGUGAGGCCAUUCUAUUGUUUGUUAUAACAUUGCACCGGAGUGUAAGCCAGAAAAAAGUUAAUCAGAAAUGUACAUAAAAAGGUUGGAGAGCUACCUCACAUGGUGACAAGUGCUCUCUACACAGGUUUGAGGGCCUGCGUUUGUUCCUCGGCACCAACAGAGGACGCUGGGCGUGAGCCAGGUGUGGCAUGCCUUUGAUCCCAGCUCUCAGACGGCAGAGGCAGCUGUUGUCACAGCAGCUGUGGAGAUUACAACCGGACUACCGACGUUGAUUGAGCUGCUGGAAGAGACAGAGACAUUGACAGCCUGGUCACCUAAUGGCUUUCUGCAGGAUGCUGAGGAGGAGAAGCAGGACAUGAAACUGGAGACUGAAUCAAUAAGCCCAGGUGCUUUUCAAAAAA